rnacentral:rRNA from 1 species
AACGAACGCUGGCGGCAUGCCUAACACAUGCAAGUCGAACGAGACCUUCGGGUCUAGUGGCGCACGGGUGCGUAACGCGUGGGAACCUGCCCUUAGGUUCGGACUAACUCCCCGAAAGGGGUGCUAAUACCGGCUAUUGUCUUCGGACCAAAGAUUUAUCGCCUUUGGAUGGGCCCGCGUUGGAUUAGCUCGUUGGUAGGGUAAAAGCCUCUCAAGGCGACGAUCCAUAGCUGGUCUGAGAGGAAGAUCAGCCACACUGGGACUAGGACACGGCCCAGACUCCUACGGAAGGCAGGAGAGGGGAAUACAGCACUGUGGGCGAAGUCCUGAUCCACCACUGCCGCGUAAGUGAUGAAGGCCGUAAAGUUAUAAAGCUCUUUUACCCGCGAUGAUAAUGACAGUACCGGGAGAAUAAGCUCCGGCUAACUCCGUG